GAGGUGGGGUGUGUGUAAUGCGCCUUUCAUAACUGCACCGCCAGCUGUCGUUAUUAAUGUUGUUUUCUUCAUGUUUAAUCAACAGAACACAGCUAACCGUAGUACUAAUUAAUUCAUUCUGUACCAAGGCGUUCGUUGUAUGAUAAUUAUGAAAGGCAGCAUCAUCUUGACUCUAUCCACCUCCUCCUCCUCCUCCUCCCAUUUUCUUUCUAACUCUCCCAUUUCUUAACGUGUGUGUGUGUGUGUGUUUUCCUUAACACUCUCGCAUCCUUUCUAGCUCAUAUUCCCGACCUUUACUCUUUAGUCUCUGUGUGUGUGUGUGUGUGUGUGUGUGUGUGUGUGUGCGUCAGUAUAGCCGUGUAGAGAUUCCCCUGUCGUGAGGAAACUGCCAAGAGACCAGUGCCCGCCUGUGGGGUGACUGCCAGAUUGACAAACAUCGCGCCCCUUGCUGCCUGUCACUCCACGGAGCUAGAGAAACAAUCUCAACUUUCCAAGCCACCUGUAGCAUCAAGAUCAAGAUCAAGAUCAAGACACGAGAGACUAAGAUGGUGGCAGUGUAACGGCCCCGGUACUUCUGUAUUUUUGUGCCUUUUUUCGCUGUUUAUCCCCAAAGACAUCAGUGCAGAAGGAAGGACAGGGUGCAGGGAAGCCAAAUCUCGCCUCCUUUAGCUGUGAUCGCUGUGCUGGUGAGGCUGUGUUGCUGUGAUGCCUAGGAACAAGAAUGUUGAGCCUCCCAUGCCAACCCCUGCCAGCUUGCAAGAGCCGGCAGGAGGAAGCCCCAAGAAGAAGAAGAAGAGGAGGAGGAGGAGUGAGAGUGAAGAGGAAGAGGAGAACAUGACAACCUUCUCAAUUAUUUCUCAAGAUUUUCCCUUCUUCGCUUCCCCCAGCAAGAAGAAGAAGAAGAAGAAGAAGGAGGAGGAAGAAGAGGAGGAGGAAGAAAAUUUUAGACUAAAUGGGGUGAUGGGGAGAGGAGAAGAGGUCACAGAAGGAAGGAAGAGGAAGAAAAAUAAAGAAAAAACAACACAAGAACAACAACAACAACAACAACAACAACAAGUAGCAAAAAAGAAGAAGAAGAAGAAGGAAGAGGAGGAAGAGGAGGAGGAGUGAGGAGAAGAAGAGGAGUAAGAAAGGAAAGAAGAUAAGGGAAGAAGAAGAGGAGGAGGAGGAGGAGGAGGAGGAGGAGGAGGAGGAGGAGAAAGAGAAGGAGAGUGUAAAGAAGAAGAAGAAGAAGCAGGCACCCACCAUCACCACCACCACCACCAUCUCCCCAAGCAAGAAGAUAAAGAAAGAAGAGGAAGAGGAAGAGGAGGAGGAGGAGAAGAGGAAGAGGAGGAAGACAUAGCUUUGGAUGAAGAAAUUGCUUGGCCGGAGGAAGCCACACUUGAGCUCCUGAAUAAGGUUACCAGCCAGCUGCCCCCUCCCACCCGCGACACCCGCUCCUGUAGGGUGAGCCUCAAGGGGGUGGACUGGGGCCUAGCUGCAUUGCCUGGAAGGACCCCUGAUGCUUGCAAGGCCCACUUUCUGGAUCAAUACAGAAAGAUUUGCCAUUUUAAGAGCCUGACAACAGUGAUAGACGACAUGGCCAAGUUGGUCAUGUCAGGGUUCAGUGACCGCAGGAACCGGCCAGCCUUGCCUAUUCACAGAUUCCUAAAAGAUUUCUUCACCCCUGAAUUGAAAGCGCAAGCCAAGAAGAAGGGGGAGAAUAUGUUGAAAUUAGGACAUCAGGCGUGGAAGCAGUUUGUCUCCUGAAGUGAAGAAGAGUUAUACGCAAGCUUAUAAGGAUGAAUGUGUGAAGUUUAAGACAAGUAGCAGCAAAGAUUCUUCAGCCUCGAAGUUACCCAAGAUGCCUUACCAGAUAUGCUGGGACGCCGAGAAGGACUCCGGCAUUACCAACAAGAGCAGCAGGACCCACUAUUCAUCCUUGCCCCCUGAACGACAGCUCCCUUACAUACAGCAAGCCCUGAAGGACCUCUUACAAUACGAGAAAGAGAAAGAGAAACAAAUUGAAGCAAACCCUGAUUUUCAAGUUCCGCCUCACAAUAGCAUGCCGAAAACCGACUUGAAAACAUACCUGGAUGCAUUAAGGUGCCCUCCUCUGCCCCCCGACCCGCGCUGCGUUAGUUUUCUACAAGGAUUUACAGGAGAAAGGCAAGCUGGAUAAGGUCCCUGGGCUGAAGAGAAUGGGAGAAGUCAUGAGGCUUUACAAGGAGCUGAGUCCGAGAGAGAAGGACAAAUACAAGGAAAGGCUGGAAAAGGCACGUGACAAGUUCGAGGAGGAGCUGAGUAAGUGGUCGAGUGGUCAAGACGAGGUCACACUGUUCGCACUUCAAAGAUACAAGGAUGUGAUGCGUUUCUCAAAGCCUAUGCCCAAGAAGACUCGGCACGUGAAGACAGAGGAUAUCUUCCCCGCACAAGGCCCUCCCGUACACCACAUGUCCCCCGCUUCCUUGCCCGAGCCCUCCCGACCCCCUGCCAGCGCGUUACCGACUGUUCGCCACCAAGUUCCGGCUCUCUGUUGGCUCCCUCUCAGGCCAGGAACUCCAGCAGGUGUUGAGGAACGGGUGGAAAGCGCUUACUGACGAGGUGAAGACAGCCUACACCGCUCGCUGUCGGGAAUUGCAUCGGAAAUAUGAGGGAGAGCUCAAGGCCUACGUUCGGGAGAUGGAUCCCAAAACACGUAGGCUGUAUUUAGGCUUCAACCGGCUGCCGCUGUUUCGUUUCUUCGGAAAUCGCGAUAUUUUCGACGAGGUUUCCGAACAGCGAGGAGUAUCCAGUCUUCCACAAGGUCCCUCUUAAGCCCAGCCAGCGUGCGAGCUCCAUGAAGAAGGAGGAGGAGGAGGAGGAUGAGGAUGAUGAUGAUGAGGAGGAAGAGGGAGGAGGAGAUGGCAGCCUCAUCAGGUCGCAAGAAGAGAUUGUCACCAAUUCUUUUUACUGACCUUGAUUCAACUCCCUCUGACUCAACUAAGCAGAAAAAAUCGGGUCUCCAGUACUUAGCUGAAGAGGACAGUGGAAAGGAGGAGGAGGAGGAGAGCGAGAGUGAAGAGGAGGAAGACGACGAGAGCGAAGAGGAGGAGGAAGACGAGAGUGAAGAGGAGGAGGCAGUUGCUACAGCCUUGCAGUCUUCUCGGCUUCCAGCUAAACAAACAAAGAAAAAGGCCGCCACUACCGCCACCACCACCCACCCCGCCCCUCACAGAAAAAGGCCGUCACCACCACCACCACCACAGCUGGCAAGAAGAAGGCCCGCGCCACCACCAGUUCAAGAUUCCGAAGACGAGAGUAACGAUAGUGAUGAAGACGUCACCCCCAGCCUGGCGCUCUGCCCCCCCCCCACGCCCGUCACCCCUGCACAGCCAAAGAAAAAGACACCCACCAAGAAGGCUCCCACACCACCAACUUCUGAUAGUGACGAUGAGAGCAAUGAUAGUGAUGUUAAUGACGUCACCCCCAGCCUGGCGUUCUGGUCCUCCCACCCCUGUCACACCCACACAGCUUAAGAAAAAGGCCGCUGCCACCACCACCACCACCCCAUUACAGAAGAAGGCCACCACCACCACCCCCUUACAGAAAAAGACCACCACCAGCACCACCACCGCAUCUGGCAAGAAGAAGAAGGCCGCUCCACCACCAACUCAAGAUUCCGAAGACGAGAGCGACGAUAGUGAUGAAGACGUCGCCCCAGCCUGGCGCUCUGGCCCCCCCACGCCCGUCACCCCCUGCACAGCCAAAGAAGGUCAAACCAAAACAACAAAAACGACACGAAAGCAGCUCGUCUGGCUUCUCGGACUCUGAUUCUUCAAAUUAACUCACCACCUUCACCACCACCACCACCACCACCACCUUCGCCUCAUCACCAGUCACUGCCAUUAGAGAUAGAUAGAGCUUGUGAAAUAUAAACCAGUUGUCAGUUUUCUUGUACAUAACCCUUGGUAGAUUCUGGUGUGGAAGGGUUAAUGAAAGGGUUAAUGAAAGGGUUACAGUUUUGUUUCCCAGCCAGUACAAAAGUGUGGGGGUUAGUUUCUGGUUAGGAGUGAGGUCAAGGUCAGUGAGGUCAAGGUCAGUGUUUGUGCUCAAUUAGUAAAACAAUUCAGGGCGCAGUAGUUAAACCGUGAGAUGAAUUUGAUUAUUGGGAACUUGUAGUGUCGGUUAAUUUAACAAUUCUCUACACAGUAUUGAACAACAACAACAAUAACAGCAAUAACAGCAGCAGCAGCAGUAUUAGCCACAGCUUCACACAUGCAAGUAGAUGGUGGAUGCCUUGGCUAGGUGUGGCGGUGGUGGUGGUUGUGUGUGUGUGUGUGUGUGUGUGUGUGUGUGUGUGUGUGUGUGUGUUUGUAUGUGGUGUUGUGUGACGUACUGAGGUGUAUUGGUGUUGUGUGGGGUUGUUCAGUGGGGUGCGAUAUCUAAACAGGCUGAGGUGAAUUUUAACCAGUCUUUUAAAAGUGUGUUUCUUGUUACUAUAUAAAAUGUUGUUAAUCUCACUGGAACCAUAAAAAGCAGCCUUGAAAACCCACAUCACUUCAACUACAGCCUUUUAAAAGUGUGUUUCUUAUGUUGACAGUAUAAUAAUCUUGUUAAUCUGUCACUAGAACCAUAAAAACAGCCUUGAAAACCCACAUCACUUCAACUACAGCCUUUUAAAAAGUAUUUGUUAUGUUGAUAGUAUAAGAAAUGUUGUUAAUCUGUCUGUUUGUGUACCAGGCUGCCCCCCCACACAACUUAUACAAGAUAAUGACAACUAUACCAGGUUUUGUUGGUAUUGCAGAACAUUGAGGGCUGAAUAUAUACCACAGAAAAUUGAA